rnacentral:autocatalytically_spliced_intron from 1 species
GAGAGCCACGUGAUACGGAUGCGUGGUUCGGAGAGGGGUUGUUGGAAAAGUGCUUAGUAGUAACUCGCUGGCUACCUACUCUAC